UACGAGGGGGGCAAAUGUUGUUCGGAAUCACUGGGCGUAAAGGGCGCGUAGGCGGUCCUGUUUGUCGAGUGUGAAAGCCCCGGGCUCAACCUGGGAACUGCGCUCGAAACGGCGGGACUAGAGAUCGGGAGAGGAGCGUGGAAUUCCCAGUGUAGAGGUGAAAUUCGUAGAUAUUGGGAAGAACACCGGUGGCGAAGGCGGCGCUCUGGACCGACACUGACGCUGAGGCGCGAAAGCGUGGGGAGCAAACAGG
rnacentral:rRNA from 1 species